rnacentral:sRNA from 1 species
CCCGUGCAGAGCGAUGCAGACGGCGGGACUGGAGGAGGUCCAGAUGGAUAUCACCACGCUUUUAAUUAUUGUUCUUAUCGUUCUCCUCCUAGGUGGCGGCUGGUACGGCCGAGGACGCUGGUAUUAAUCGGAACCCGAAGGGCCCGGUCUACCGUGGUGGCCAGGAACUCCGACGUCGAAUAUUCGUCUGGCAGUGCCCGGCAAAUCAACAGCAUUGGAGCCGAC